UUGGGGGGCAAGUCUGGUGCCAGCAGCCGCGGUAAUUCCAGCUCCAAUAGCGUAUACUAAAGUUGUUGCAGUUAAAAAGCUCGUAGUUGAAUUUCGGGAUCAGUACGCUGGUCAUGCCUUUGGUAUGCACUGGUGUCACUGGUUUCUCCCUUCUGAAGAACCGUGAUGUCAUUAAUUUGGUGUCGCGGGGAAUCAGGACUGUUACUUUGAAAAAAUUAGAGUGUUUAAAGCAGGCUCACGCUUGAAUACAUUAGCAUGGAAUAAUGAAAUAGGACGUUUGACCCUAUUUUGUUGGUUUCUAGGAUCGACGUAAUGAUUAAUAGGGAUAGUUGGGGGCAUUAGUAUUCAAUUGUCAGAGGUGAAAUUCUUGGAUUUAUUGAAGACUAACUACUGCGAAAGCAUUUGCCAAGGAUGUUUUCAUUAAUCAAGAACGAAAGUUAGGGGAUCGAAGACGAUCAGAUACCGUCGUAGUCUUAACCAUAAACUAUGCCGACUAGGGAUCGGAUGAUGU
rnacentral:rRNA from 1 species